UACGAAGGGGGCUAGCGUUGUUCGGAAUUACUGGGCGUAAAGCGCGUGUAGGCGGGUCUUUAAGUCAGGGGUGAAAUGCCAGGGCUCAACCUUGGAACUGCCUUUGAUACUGGAGACCUUGAGUCCGGGAGAGGUGAGUGGAAUUGCGAGUGUAGAGGUGAAAUUCGUAGAUAUUCGCACGAACACCAGUGGCGAAGGCGGCUCACUGGCCCGGAACUGACGCUGAGACGCGAAAGCGUGGGGAGCAAACAGG
rnacentral:rRNA from 1 species